GGAGUUUGGUCCGUGUCUCAGUACCAAUGUGGGGGACCUUCCUCUCAGAACCCCUACUGAUCGAUGGCUUGGUGGGCCGUUACCCCGCCAACAACCUAAUCAGACGCAUCCCCAUCCUAUACCGAUAAAUCUUUGCUUCACGUCAGAUGCCAUCUAUGAAGAACAUAGGGUAUUAAUUCGACUUUCGCCGGGCUAUCCCUCUACUAAGGGAAGGUUGGAUACGCGUUACUCACCCGUGCGCCGGUCGUCAGCAAGAAAAGACAAGCUUCUCUCCUGUUACCCCUCCGACUUGCAUGUGUUAAGCCUGUAGCUAGCGUUCAUC
rnacentral:rRNA from 1 species